GACGUAGGGCGCGAGCGUUGUCCGGAUUUAUUGGGCGUAAAGAGCUCGUAGGCGGCUUGUUGCGUCGACUGUGAAAACACACGGCUCAACCGUGUGGUCUGCAGUCGAUACGGGCAGGCUAGAGUUCGGUAGGGGAGACUGGAAUUCCUGGUGUAGCGGUGAAAUGCGCAGAUAUCAGGAGGAACACCGGUGGCGAAGGCGGGUCUCUGGGCCGAUACUGACGCUGAGGAGCGAAAGCGUGGGGAGCGAACAGG
rnacentral:rRNA from 1 species